rnacentral:lncRNA from 1 species
CGGGAGAGAGCAGGGAUGACCAGGCAAGGAGAAGACCAGAACAGAACCUGGAAAGUGCCCCUACUGUUCAGGCCACUUGGGUAAUCUCAGGCGGGUAGACCUCACGGCCACAGGAGUGUGAUUCCUGGCUCUUCCACUUACAGAUUCUAGGGAUGAUCUUGAGCAAUUUUCUUCACCUCUCUGCACCUAUUUUCUGUCUGCAAGAUGGGAAUUAUAAGACCUACCUCGAAGGGCUGCUAUGAGAAGUAAAUGAGACUCCCGUUGAUGGAGGACUUAGCUUGGGGCUAACACAGGGCACGUACUCAGUAAACAAAUGGCAGUUCUGACGGUUGUUUCCAAUGCGUCUACCCUUCAGGCCUCAUUGGAGGCCCAGCUUCUCAGAAGGUUGGCCACCUCCUUGGAGCGUUUCUGGAUUCCUUCAUAUGAGAACAGGGUCUCUCCAUGUACUGAGAUGGUAGAGCACGAGGCUGACUUCACAUCUGUUAAUCAACUUCCCAUCACGGCUGAGAUAGCAUUUUG